rnacentral:rRNA from 1 species
GCUCUUUUGUUAGGGACGAUGAUGACGGUACCUAACGAAUAAGCUCCGGCUAACUUCGUGCCAGCAGCCGCGGUAAUACGAAGGGAGCUAGCGUUGUUCGGAAUUACUGGGCGUAAAGGGCGCGUAGGCGGCUUGAUAAGUUUGAUGUGAAAGCCCUGGGCUUAACCUAGGAAUAGCAUUGAAUACUGUCAGGCUAGAGGCCGAGAGAGGGAAAUGGAAUUGCGAGUGUAGAGGUGAAAUUCGUAGAUAUUCGCAAGAACACCAGUGGCGAAGGCGAUUUCCUGGCUCGGUACUGACGCUAAGGCGCGAAAGCGUGGGGAGCAAACAGGAUUAGAUACCCUGGUAGUCCACGCUGU